GUGAGACAGCAAGCUGCCAGAUCUGGGACUCGAACCAUAUUCGGCCAUGUGGCCUUUGCCACCAGCAGCCCCCACAGCUACUGUACAUUUAAUGGAAGAAGAAAUACAAGCUUCGAUUUUAUGUUACAAAAGGAGCCAAUAGCAGAACUAAAAGUAAGGUAAUGACUCAGCGAAGUGAUUAGACACCGAGGGCAGAAGCCGGCUGGGCAGACAUGGAAGUUGUCUCUUGUUUUCAGCAAGGGAUCAGUGGACACAUUGUCCAAAAGUUGACAAAUUAAUAAAUACCAAUCCAAGAAUUUGCUUUAACAAUGCAAAAAAUGGAAGCACCAGAAUAUCACAUUACUUUGAGCAUAACUGAAAAAGAAUUUAAUUACAAAAAUGUAAUUUGCUGCUGGAGGCCGGUGGUGAUUUUUAAAGGCCUGCUGUUUUUUACACAAAGCCCUGUCCACCUUUAUGUUUUGCUUUGCUCUUUUAUUUUCCUAUGUUCCUGGGACAUUAAAACGAACAUUUAUUUCUAAAGUAGAUUUGUAGUAUUUCAGUCUUGAAAAAUGUGAAGAAAGUAGACGCCGUCUGCAGCUGAAGGCACAGGAUACAGUUAGAAAUACUACUGAAUCUUGCACAAGUAACUUAGAAAACAAGAAUUUAAACGGAGAGGAGCGGCCGCCCCUAAACUCGGAAUGUGCCCAAGUUGCUAAAUCAAGAAACGGCCCUCCACGACUUCUGAUUCACAGAUUUUGGGAACACGCUGCCCGCCAGAAGAAAGAGAAUCCUCCCACGAUAAAAAGUGGCCUGGCCUUUCCGGCUGUGGUGAACACAUGUUGGUCUGGAUCUUUCAGAAAGUGUCCUACGAGAGAAGAACUCAAGCAAGAAUCAGCCAGUUGCAUCCCCACAUGAGUUGGCUGGAGCCUGAGAUGAACCACAUGGCAGUGAAUCAAUCACUCAGGCAUAGUUGAUGAUGCUCCAGGAAACAACUCUGGAACACAUGGAGCCCUCCCACGCGGGUCACUCUUGCAGUCACAAUAUGGAUUAUUGUCCAGCUGGUGACAAUCCAUCACCUUAUCACACAGCAAUGCCAGGUGAGUGACAUGUCCUGACUCUGUGGGGAGAGGAUGAGGGAAGCUCUGCAUUGGUCAUUCCCCCUGGAUGCUGCCCUAUGUGCUUCUUCUCUUGGCUGAUUUUACUCCAUGUCUCUUCCUUGUAUAAAGGUAAUUGUGUAAUAGCUUUCUGUGAGUUGUUCCAAAAUGGCUGGCAGAGUCCCCCUGAUUUGCAGCUGGUAUCAGAAGUGGGGAGCCCUAGAACUGUGCCUCUUAGCUUUUAGUUCGUUUAAUACUUUUGGCAAACAUUGAUUCCUAGCUCUCACUUUCGGACACUUGGAUUUCAUUGGUAUGGAGUGUGGCCUGGGCAUUUGUUUUAAAAGCGCCCUGGGGGAAGGGGCAGUGCCAGCAGGUGGUGCGGGGGUUAAGGUGCUGGAUUUUCACAUGG